CCACCCUUACUGCGCAUGCGCAAACCUUCUACACUUCCCCUCUCCACAUCACCUCGCCCCUUCCCUUUCCCCUCCCUUAUCCCUCUCCACUUCCCCUCCUCCCCUUUCUGCCCCUCUCCACUCCCCUCACCUUUCCCCCUCUCCCGUCCCCAUCCCCUCCCCCUCUCUCAUUUCCCCCUCUCCACAUCCCUCUCCCCUUUCCCCCUCACCACACCACCUCUGAAACGCGGGCUCUACAUGCCGAAACACUGCUUCGCAUCGCCUCAUGGUCCCCUUUAGCGGGAGAUGGUGUGAUUUUUAUUUUAAUUGUACCUUGCAGUACUAUUAAAAUUAGCGAAACUCAAACCCUUUCACCCGGUUGAGGCGAGCAGAACACGUACACAACAGGGUGACCUGUCCCCCUCAUUUUUCUUCUUUCAUAUAUGCUUCCGCCCUUACCCAGGCAUUGGCAUGCUUCAGGAAGGUUUCGACUUGGGCUUGUUGGUGAUUCAUCUUGAUGGGAAAUUACGCGCACAAAAGACAGGGACACAAGAAGGAACAUAGAUGGACAGACAAAGUUGCCAUCAAGAUUGGCAUGCUUACCUGUUUCAGUAGCGGCUUCCAAUGCUUUAUUCGUAAGCGUUGCUGUGACUAGAUUUAUUCCAUCUGCCUAAGUUGCUUUCGUAAUAUGGCACCUGUCUGCAGUGUUUUCUGCAAGUUCUAAUUCAGGCUAAUAGAGUACACUGAAAAGAAAGACAAUGUGGUAGUCCCGUUAAAGAGUACUGCGAAAGGGAUGCUUAUCAUUGGUAGAACUGCUCUCCUUUUUGUUCCAUGAGUACUCCGUUAAUUGACAUGUCCUUUCUCCUUCAGCACACCGAGGCUUCGUCAAGGCAGAGCUGCGGCUAAACGUCGUCGUCGCCAUGCUGGAAUUGGCGAUCCGCCGUCUGGUCGCCCUCCAGCAGCCCCAGCAGUGACGGCGAUGCGGAGGCCCGGGGCGGUGGCACCCCCGUCAGUGCACCCGGCGGACGUGACGGUCUGCCCGGGAAGAGGUGCACGACAGCCUGUCACCGCCCCCUCCACCAGCCCCACGGCGCCCUCCGGCUGCCCCAGCAGUCACGGCGAUGCAGUGAGCGCACCCGGUGGACGUAAAGGUCUGCCCAGUGAGAGGUGCGCGACAGCCUGUGACCGCCCCCUCCACCAGCCCCACGGCGCCUUCCAGCUGCCCCAGCAGUCCGGACGAUGCAGUGAGUGCACCCGGUGGACGUAAAGGUCUGCCCAGAGAGAGGUGCGCGACAGCCUGUGACCGCCCCCUCCACCAGCCCCACGGCGCCCUCCGGCUGCCCCAGCAGUCACGGCGAUGCAGUGAGCGCACCCGGUGGACGUAAUGGUCUGCCCAGGGAGAGGUGCGCGACAGCCUGUGACCGCCCCCUCCACCAGCCCCACGGCGCCUUCCGGCUGCCCCAGCAGUCACAGCGAUGCAGUGAGCGAUCCCAGUGGACGUAAAGGUCUGCCCACGGAGUGGUGCGCGACAGCCUGUGACUUCCCCCUCCACCAGCUCCGCGGCGCCCUCCGGCUGCCCCAGCAGUCACGGCGAUGCAGUGAGCGUACCCGGUGGACGUAAAGGUCUGCCCAGGGAGAGGUGCGCGACAGCCUGUGACCGCCCCCUCCACCAGCCCCACGGCGCCCUCCGGCUGCCCCAGCAGUCACGACGAUGCAGUGAGCGCACCCGGUGGACGUAAAGGUCUGCCCAGGGAGAGGUGCGCGACAGCCUGUGACCGCCCCCUCCACCAGCCCCACGGCGCCCUCCGGCUGCCCCAGCAGUCACGGCGAUGCAGUGAGCGCACCCGGUGGACGUAAAGGUCUGCCCAGUGAGAGGUGCGCGACAGCCUGUGACCGCCCCCUCCACCAGCCCCACGGCGCCCUCCGGCUGCCCCAGCAGUCACGGCGAUGCAGUGAGCGCACCCGGUGGACGUAAAGGUCUGCCCAGGGAGUGGUGCGCGACAGCCUGUGACCGCCCCCUCCACCAGCCCCACGGCGCCUUCCAGCUGCCCCAGCAGUCACGGCGAUGCAGUGAGUGCACCCGGUGGACGUAAAGGUCUGCCCAGGGAGUGGUGCGCGACAGCCUGUGACUUCCCCCUCCACCAGCCCCGCGGCGCCUUCCGGCUGCCCCAGCAGUGACGGCGAAGUGGUGAGCGCACCCAGCGGACAUGGCGGUUUUCCCGGGGAUAGGUGUGCGACAGCCUGUCACCGCCCCCUCAACCAGCUCCGCUGCGCCCUCCAGCCGCCCCAGCAGUGAUGGCGAUGCUGUCACUGCUGACCUCAUGCGAACCAGCUAAUUACUGUUAGCAUUGACUGCAAGAAAAGAAGGCAUUGCAUUUUUAUAGAAAAGUAGACGACGAAAAAGGCCUUACGGUUUUUUUAACAUUUUGCAUGGAUGGAUGUAUACUGUGAGCCUGCCGUUUAUGAUGUGACGGUGACAUCUGCGGCACCAAAGUGGAAAGGAAGACUAGCUUUUUUUUUAUGUCAACCUAAGAUCUUGUCUACUCCAAUUUAAUAGACGUCGCUGUAGAAGAAAAUAAAAGACCAUAAAGUCAAAGCCCAACUCUUCUCCUUUUACGGUAAAAUGGUCUUAUUUUUCCCACUAUUUUUUUGCCCUUUCUCUACAUUUGUGCCACUAUUCGUCCAACUAUCUCUUACUUAUUUUUAUCACGGACGUGUUUACCUUUCCCUGUGGCUGUCUUAAGACCCAACGUUUCAGGUACGCUAGUGCCCAUACAUACGUGCGUGUGGCCAUCUCCACAUUCAGUUAAAACAUGAUCGGUCGUUCCCUUAGCUUCCUCAUAGCAUGUGCAUUUUUCUUUUUAGUGCAUCUCGCUUUAUAACUACGGGUUCUUAUCGUUGUCCAAUCUUGCUUCGAACAGUAAACCGUUUCCCCCUGAAUUAUCAUCAAAUGCCUCGCUCCUAAUCUCAUUUUUACCCUUUCAGUAGUUACUCAAUCGUUUCUUUUCCCAUUGCUGCUCUCCAAAGAAUCCUCCUCACCUCUCUGACCUUUCAGUAGGUGCUCUGUGUUGUCAUGUCGCUUGCACUGCCAGCCAUAUACCGUAUUUAUUCAAAUCUAAGCCGAUGUUUUUUUCGAAAAAACGAUGUGCGAAAGUAGGGGGGUCGGCUUAGAUUCGAGUAC